AAUACAUUGAUCAGGAAGAGUUGAAU
rnacentral:piRNA from 1 species